UACGAAGGAUGCGAGCGUUAUCCGGAUUUAUUGGGUUUAAAGGGAGCGUAGGCGGUCUUAUAAGUCAGUGGUGAAAUCCUAUCGCUUAACGAUAGACGUGCCAUUGAUACUGUAGGACUUGAGUACAGAUGCCGUUGGCGGAAUGUGUCAUGUAGCGGUGAAAUGCAUAGAUAUGACACAGAACACCGAUUGCGAAGGCAGCUGACGAAACUGUAACUGACGCUGAGGCUCGAAAGCGUGGGGAGCGAAUGGG
rnacentral:rRNA from 1 species